GGCCUGAUGGCGGAGUGGUGACGCUGGGGACUGCAAAUCCUCCCACCCGGGUUCGAUUCCCGGUCAGGCCUCCA
rnacentral:tRNA from 1 species